rnacentral:ncRNA from 1 species
UUUUCUCUCAUAGCCAGAUAUUCGGGGCUCAAGGGCUUCGUCUCAGAGCAGAGAGACAAAAGGGACUUGUCUCCGUGCCGAUCGGGAAGGUCGGCAAAAAAUAAAACCUCAUGG